AUUGAACGCUGGCGGCAUGCCUUACACAUGCAAGUCGAACGGUAACGCGGGGCAACCUGGCGACGAGUGGCGAACGGGUGAGUAAUGCAUCGGAACGUGCCCAGUAGUGGGGGAUAGCCCGGCGAAAGCCGGAUUAAUACCGCAUACGACCUUCGGGUGAAAGGGGGGGAUCGCAAGACCUCUCGCUAUUGGAGCGGCCGAUGUCAGAUUAGGUAGUUGGUGGGGUAAAAGCCUACCAAGCCGACGAUCUGUAGCUGGUCUGAGAGGACGACCAGCCACACUGGGACUGAGACACGGCCCAGACUCCUACGGGAGGCAGCAGUGGGGAAUUUUGGACAAUGGGCGCAAGCCUGAUCCAGCCAUGCCGCGUGCGGGAAGAAGGCCUUCGGGUUGUAAACCGCUUUUGUCAGGGAAGAAACGCUUCGAGCUAAUACCUCGGAGUAAUGACGGUACCUGAAGAAUAAGCACCGGCUAACUACGUGCCAGCCGCCGCCGUAA
rnacentral:rRNA from 1 species